UGGCGAACGGGUGAGUAACACGUGAGUAACCUGCCCUUAACUCUGGGAUAAGCCUGGGAAACUGGGUCUAAUACCGGAUAGGAGCGUCCACCGCAUGGUGGGUGUUGGAAAGAUUUAUCGGUUUUGGAUGGACUCGCGGCCUAUCAGCUUGUUGGUGAGGUAAUGGCUCACCAAGGCGACGACGGGUAGCCGGCCUGAGAGGGUGACCGGCCACACUGGGACUGAGACACGGCCCAGACUCCUACGGGAGGCAGCAGUGGGGAAUAUUGCACAAUGGGCGCAAGCCUGAUGCAGCGACGCCGCGUGAGGGAUGACGGCCUUCGGGUUGUAAACCUCUUUCAGUAGGGAAGAAGCGAAAGUGACGGUACCUGCAGAAGAAGCACCGGCUAACUACGUGCCAGCAGCCGCGGUAAUACGUAGGGUGCGAGCGUUAUCCGGAAUUAUUGGGCGUAAAGAGCUCGUAGGCGGUUUGUCGCGUCUGUCGUGAAAGUCCGGGGCUUAACCCCGGAUCUGCGGUGGGUACGGGCAGACUAGAGUGCAGUAGGGGAGACUGGAAUUCCUGGUGUAGCGGUGGAAUGCGCAGAUAUCAGGAGGAACACCGAUGGCGAAGGCAGGUCUCUGGGCUGUAACUGACGCUGAGGAGCGAAAGCAUGGGGAGCGAACAGGAUUAGAUACCCUGGUAGUCCAUGCCGUAAACGUUGGGCACUAGGUGUGGGGACCAUUCCACGGUUUCCGCGCCGCAGCUAACGCAUUAAGUGCCCCGCCUGGGGAGUACGGCCGCAAGGCUAAAACUCAAAGGAAUUGACGGGGGCCCGCACAAGCGGCGGAGCAUGCGGAUUAAUUCGAUGCAACGCGAAGAACCUUACCAAGGCUUGACAUGUUCUCGAUCGCCGUAGAGAUACGGUUUCCCCUUUGGGGCGGGUUCACAGGUGGUGCAUGGUUGUCGUCAGCUCGUGUCGUGAGAUGUUGGGUUAAGUCCCGCAACGAGCGCAACCCUCGUUCCAUGUUGCCAGCACGUAAUGGUGGGGACUCAUGGGAGACUGCCGGGGUCAACUCGGAGGAAGGUGAGGACGACGUCAAAUCAUCAUGCCCCUUAUGUCUUGGGCUUCACGCAUGCUACAAUGGCCGGUACAAUGGGUUGCGAUACUGUGAGGUGGAGCUAAUCCCAAAAAGCCGGUCUCAGUUCGGAUUGGGGUCUGCAACUCGACCCCAUGAAGUCGGAGUCGCUAGUAAUCGCAGAUCAGCAACGCUGCGGUGAAUACGUUCCCGGGCCUUGUACACACCGCCCGUCAAGUCACGAAA
rnacentral:rRNA from 1 species